rnacentral:rRNA from 1 species
GGCGAACGGGUGAGUAACACGUGGGUAAUCUGCCCUGCACUCUGGGAUAAGCCUUGGAAACGAGGUCUAAUACCGGAUACGACACCGGACCGCAUGGUCUGGUGUGGAAAGUUCCGGCGGUGCAGGAUGAGCCCGCGGCCUAUCAGCUUGUUGGUGGGGUGAUGGCCUACCAAGGCGACGACGGGUAGCCGGCCUGAGAGGGUGACCGGCCACACUGGGACUGAAACACGGCCCAGACUCCUACGGGAGGCAGCAGUGGGGAAUCUUGCGCAAUGGGCGAAAGCCUGACGCAGCAACGCCGCGUGGGGGAUGACGGCCUUCGGGUUGUAAACCUCUUUCGACAUCGACGAAGCCUUCGGGUGACGGUAGGUGUAGAAGAAGCACCGGCUAACUACGUGCCAGCAGCCGCGGUAAUACGUAGGGUGCAAGCGUUGUCCGGAUUUAUUGGGCGUAAAGAGCUCGUAGGCGGUUUGUCGCGUCGCUCGUGAAAACUGGAGGCUUAACCUUCAGCUUGCGGUCGAUACG